CCUGACUGGAAGAGUUUGCAGUCUAAACAAACAGGACCAGAAAAGGGUGGGAGAAAGGAAGUAUCAUUAUCUCUUUUACAGAUCAGGAACUGAAGCAGAGACGAAGUACCUGCCCAAGGUGACGCAAUGAGCCCUUCGUCGUGAAUCUUGGAUUGUCUGAGAAGAUUUCCAAGCCCAGCAAUCAGGCUACAAGAAGACAGUCUGCUUACAAAACAGCUGCUGCACCUGCAGACUUCAGGCUCUCCUCCUCCACACCCACAAAAUGCCUGAGCCAGAUAAGGAGGAGAAAGAAGAGGACUCAGGAUGACAUGUUCAUCGAUAUCCUGCAGACAGUGCUGCAUCAGGCUGUGAGCACAAAGCCUGGAGGAUGAAUACUGGGGACAGCCUGGAGAAGGAGAGUGGUAAGGAGAAGGGCCCAGGAGUCCCAUCAGGAAAAGGAGAGGGAGAUGCACCAAGACAUAAUGUGGCUCCUGAGGCACCAAACACAGAUGCUUCAGAUUCUGAUGGACCUGCAGGGUCAGCAAUCCCUGGCUGACCUCCCUGUGCAGCCCACUGAGAGAUCAAUAACGGGGCUUACCUAUACCCCACCCCCAACAUUCCACAUGGCCUCAGGUUGCUGCACUAC